rnacentral:rRNA from 1 species
UUGUUAUAUGUGUCAUACGGAGUACGCCGGGUAAAAAGCCGGAGGAAGGUGAGGAUGAUGUCAAGUCAGCAUGACCUUUAUAUCCAGGGCUACACACACGGCUACAAUGGUCUGUACAAUGGGUAGCCAAGCCGCGAGGCGGAGCCAAUCCUGAAAAGCAGGCCUCAGUUCAGAUUGCAGUCUGCAACUCGACUGCAUGAAGCCGGAGUUGCUAGUAACCGCAGGUCAGCAAUACUGCGGUGAAUACGUUCCCGGGUCUUGU